UACGUAGGGUGCGAGCGUUAAUCGGAAUUACUGGGCGUAAAGCGUGCGCAGGCGGUUUGUUAAGACAGAUGUGAAAUCCCCGGGCUUAACCUGGGAACUGCAUUUGUGACUGGCAAGCUAGAGUAUGGCAGAGGGGGGUAGAACUCCACGUGUAGCAGUGAAAUGCGUAGAGAUGUGGAGGAAUACCGAUGGCGAAGGCAGCCCCCUGGGCCAAUACUGACGCUCAUGCACGAAAGCGUGGGGAGCAAACAGG
rnacentral:rRNA from 1 species